rnacentral:rRNA from 1 species
CAGUCGUACCUUCGGGUAAUCAGCCUUUCGGGUGCGAUUCUGUGGAGUGUGAGGAGCUUAACACCUUCAUGCUUUGCAUAUUUGUGCUCUUGGGUGUACUUGCCCGUGUGGUUGGUUAACAUCAAUUUUGGUGGUCAUAAAAUGACUGGAGGAAUGUAGCUUUGAUCUCGUAUUGAAGUGUUAUAGCCUUCGGUAGAUGUGAUGAUCGAGAUUGAGGAUUGCAACGGAUACCCUUCGGGGCUACCUGUCUGGUCUCUGAUCGUUGCUCUGGUGCUGAAAGCUUGCUUACAGUUAUCAAAGUCGAUGGUCAAUAGGUUAGAACGGGUUAAA